UACAGAGGUCCCAAGCGUUGUUCGGAAUAAUUGGGCGUAAAGGGUGUGUAGGCGGUCUGGCAAGUCGGAUGUGAAAUCUCAGGGCUCAACCCUGAAACUGCAUUCGAUACUGCGCGGCUAGAGUGCUGGAGGGGAGACUGGAAUUUACGGUGUAGCAGUGAAAUGCGUAGAUAUCGUAAGGAAGACCAGUGGCGAAGGCGAGUCUCUGGACAGCAACUGACGCUGAGGCACGAAGGCCAGGGGAGCAAACGGG
rnacentral:rRNA from 1 species